AGCGAACGCUGGCGGCAGGCUUAACACAUGCAAGUCGAACGCCCCGCAAGGGGAGUGGCAGACGGGUGAGUAACGCGUGGGAAUGUGCCCCAAGGUACGGAACAACACCGGGAAACUGGUGCUAAUACCGUAUGUGACCGAGAGGUGAAAGAUUUAUCGCCUUGGGAUCAGCCCGCGUUAGAUUAGCUAGUUGGUGAGGUAAUGGCUCACCAAGGCUACGAUCUAUAGCUGGUCUGAGAGGAUGAUCAGCCACACUGGGACUGAGACACGGCCCAGACUCCUACGGGAGGCAGCAGUGGGGAAUCUUGGACAAUGGGCGCAAGCUUGAUCCAGCCAUGCCGCGUGAAUGAUGAAGGCCUUAGGGCUGUAAAGUUCUUUCGUCGGGGACGAUAAUGACGGUACCCGAAGAAGAAGCCCCGGCUAACUUCGUGCCAGCAGCCGCCGUAA
rnacentral:rRNA from 1 species